CACUGGCACAUGUCUUCAUCUCAAGUGCCUGAUAAAACAAUUCUUCUGGUGCAAGCACACGCACUUCUGUACUGACAACGGAGGUGGAGAGGAAACUGUACCUGAUCACUUCCUAAGGGAGGUCCUGUGCAUUUAAAUAUCUGUAUGAUGAAAUCUCUAUUAAAGUAAAAUGGGUGAUUGCCUGAAAAGCACAUAAGAAACAGGACAUUCUGCGCCAUACUGAAAGACUGUUUACCAGCUGUUCCCUGUCAGAGAAAAAGGACAUUUCCAGACAUGGCUUUUUGAGAAAAUUGACAAUUUUUGAGGCAUGUGCAGUCAGUCCUGAUUUGUUUGUGCUGUACAUUGAACAUGCCUGCAUUUGUGCCUGGCCCUCCUCCAUCCAGACUGCCAGAGACCACAGCAUCAUGCAGAGAAACUGCUUGUUUCAGAAAAGGACUGAUUUUUUUUUUUUAAAUUCAUCUGUGAUGCAUACUUUUAACUAUAUCUGUAUUUUAACAGAAUGGAGAAAUCUUUUAGGAGCUAUGUCAUGGACUGCCAUAGCAUAAGUGAAGGACAUACACAUUAAAGUCAGUCAUCCUUGCACUUGUUUUUCUUUAUGCCUAGUGAGGGAUGCUGACAGAAACAAAAAUUAUUUCUUCCAAAGGGUCAGUUGGGUGUCAAAUAAAAGACAGCCCCAUUCUAUAAAGCACAAAGGGAUACCAUUUCAAUAUUUAGAAAGCAAAGAUGUAAGAGAAUCGUAUUCUAUGCAUCACAUCAUGCAUGUAUGUUCCCAAAAAAGGUGUUUUUCUAUCCAGCUCCUGUCAUGCCCUGUCUGGAUUUUAGCUUCACUUAUUGCUUUGAGAUAUGCAGUUUGAAGGCAAAAGCAUACCCGAAAUGCUCUUCCAGUGGUGAUUCCAGAGGAGGAGAUUUCUCAGACACCUAUCUUGCUUUAUGACAUGCUCAGCUGGCAGCGGCUUGGCUUGUCAGAGUGGGAGCAGCUUGAUGUGACAGCCUGCUGGCUGCCAGAGGAGGCUCUUCCCUUCCAGGGACUGGCUGUGGAAUGUUUAGCUGAGCAUCAGUCACUCUGGGAAGGAACCUACAUAGCGGCACUAAGCAGAGCAGGAGCCUUCAAAACCAUACUUCCACAAAAAAAAAAAAAAAAAAAGAAAAAAAAAAGAAAAAAAAAAGGCCAGAGAGGGCCGUCUCCAGUGCGUAGCAUUUUUUUCCCGAAUCUUUCCUUUCUAAGGAUAAUGAUGUUUAUUUGUGAAGAUCUCUCUACUGUUGCCCAGAAAUAGCCCACAUAUGUGGAACUCCAGGACUUGCUAUGAGAAAACAACCCACUUUUGGAGAGGCUUAUAAGGAAAAUUGAGGGCAUGCGUUUCUUCUCAGUUGAAAAGUCAUCACUCUGCAUUCCUGCUUCUGCAGAAAUUGGUUGAAAAAAAAUCAUAAGUUUUGUACAGUGCUCUGGGAUUAUGAAGUUAUUAAUCUGUUUGCUGGCAGGGUUCUCAAGGUCUGGUGUAUACAUUAUAAAAAAUAAAAUCCA